CCUACGGGGGGCAGCAGUCGAGAAUCAUUCACAAUGGGGGAAACCCUGAUGGUGCGACGCCGCGUGAGGGAAUGAAGGUCUUCGGAUUGUAAACCCCUUUCAUGUGGGAGCAAAUUAAAAAGAUAGUACCACAAGAGGAAGAGACGACUAACUCUGUGCCAGCAGCCGCGGUACACCAGAGGGCUCAAGCGGUGGUCGGAAUAACUGGGCGUAAGGCGUGCGUAGGCGGUGUUGUAAGUCGGGGGUGAAAGGCGCGGGCGCAACCCGCGGACGGCACAUGAUACUGAGAGACUAGAGUAAUGGAGGGGGAAGCGGAAUUCGUGGUGUAGCAGUGAAAUGCGUAGAUAUCGAGAGGAACACUCGUGGCGAAGGCGGGUUCCUGGACAUUAACUGACGCUGAGGCACGAAGGCCAGGGGAGCGAAAGGGAUUAGAUACCCGAGUAGUC
rnacentral:rRNA from 1 species